rnacentral:misc_RNA from 1 species
GAUGAAGAACGCAGCGAAAUGCGAUAAGUAAUGUGAAUUGCAGAAUUCCGUGAAUCAUCGAAUCUUUGAACGCACAUUGCGCCCCCUGGCAUUCCGGGGGGCAUGCCUGUCCGAGCGUCAUUUCUGCCCUCAAGCACGGCUUGUGUGUUGGGUGUGGUCCCCCCGGGGACCUGCCCGAAAGGCAGCGGCGACGUCCGUCUGGUCCUCGAGCGUAUGGGGCUCUGUCACUCGCUCGGGAAGGACCUGCGGGGGUUGGUCACCACUAUAUUUUACCACGGUUGACCUCGGAUCAGGUAGGAGUUACCCGCUGAACUUAAGCAUCUCAAUAAGCGGAGGA